rnacentral:rRNA from 1 species
UACGGGGGGGGCAAGCGUUGUUCGGAAUUACUGGGCGUAAAGGGCUCGUAGGUGGCCAACUAAGUCAGACGUGAAAUCCCUCGGCUUAACCGGGGAACUGCGUCUGAUACUGGAUGGCUUGAGUUUGGGAGAGGGACGCGGAAUUCCAGGUGUAGCGGUGAAAUGCGUAGAUAUCUGGAGGAAUACCGGUGGCGAAAGCGCCUUGCUGGGUCUGCACUGACACUGAGGGACGAAAGCUAGGGGAGCGAAAGGG